UACGUAGGGUGCAAGCGUUGUCCGGAAUUAUUGGGCGUAAAGAGCUCGUAGGCGGUUUGUCGCGUCUGCUGUGGAAACGCGAGGCUCAACCUCGCGCCUGCAAUGGGUACGGGCAGACUGGAGUGCGGUAGGGGAGAUUGGAAUUCCUGGUGUAGCGGUGGAAUGCGCAGAUAUCAGGAGGAACACCGAUGGCGAAGACAGAUCUCUGGGCCGUAACUGACGCUGAGGAGCGAAAGCGUGGGGAGCGAACAGG
rnacentral:rRNA from 1 species